AAUCAACGCUGGCGGCGUGCCUCAGACAUGCAAGUCGAACGAUUAAGACUCUCUUCGGAGAGUGCAUAAAGUGGCGCACGGGUGAGUAACACGUAAGUAAUCUACCUUUGGGUGGGGAAUAACAGUCGGAAACGACUGCCAAUACCGCAUAAUGCAGCGGCUCCUUAUGGAGACAGUUGUUAAAGAUUUAUCGCCUAAAGAGGAGCUUGCGGCAGAUUAGCAGUUGGUAAGGUAACGGCUUACCAAGGCGACGAUCUGUAUCCGACCUGAGAGGGUGGUCGGACACACUGACACUGAAUAA
rnacentral:rRNA from 1 species